rnacentral:rRNA from 1 species
ACUAGAGCCAUAUCUCCCUGUAGUUCCCGCCUGGGUUCCCACUGAUCAGGGUUGAGUCUGGACAGUACCUGGAUUGGAGACCUCCUGGGGAAAAACAAGGUUGCUGCUGGAA